rnacentral:lncRNA from 1 species
GAGGUGGUAUUGGAUCUAGGAAUUUAAUAGAAUUUGACUUAAUUCAUAAAUAAGAAUUUUUAGUGCAAUUUAAAAGAUUUGAUGAGACUUUAAUGCAUUUAUAAUUUUUGUUUUGUUUUGUUUUGUUAUGGAUUUUAAUGGAAUGUACAUAAAUUUGAUAGAAUAUCAAUAUCUCUUCUUUUUUUGAACUACGAAUAUCAAUAUCUCUAAAACCUG